AAACCAAAAGCAGUUGUAAAGCGCUUUUGGUUCACUAAAAACUAACAGCUGUUCUAAAGCGGAAUUGAUUUCGCUGUUAAAGCUCUCUUGAAAACUUUUGAGCAAUUUCACUGGUUGUUCCAGCGCUUUCUUUUCACUGCGCAACAGUUGAAACGGCACAAUUACCGAGUUGAAAUUACUGAGUUUUAACUUGUUGUACAGCGCCUUGGUCUGUUCCAAGUAUUGCUGGUUUUUAUGCACAAUAAUGAAAAUCGUUAAAUACCACAAGUAAAACAGAAAAGCUAAGACAGCUAACGAUCCCAAUAAAGCAGCAAUGACAACCAUUAGCGUUGCUUAUUGGAAAGCUUUAACAGUUCAAACAUUAAGUUUUGUUCAAUCUUAAUGUUGAGCUUUAAGUCCUUCGAGUGGUUCAUUUGCCGCUCUAACUCGG
rnacentral:sRNA from 1 species